rnacentral:lncRNA from 1 species
AUGAACUGGGAUGAACUGGGAUGGACUGGGAUGAACUGGGAUGAACUGGGGAUGAACUGGGAUGAACUGGGAGAGCACCAGCGCGCUGCUCCAGGCCAGGAAGGCACCGGUUCAAACUGGGACGGGACCAGUCAAAAGCCAGCUGGGCCAAACUGGGACGGACUGGGGGGAACUGGGACCGGAUCGGAACCAACUGGGACCAACUGGGACCAACUGGAACCAACUGGUUCUUACUGGAACCAGCAACUGGAACCAACUGGGCCCAACUGGGACCAACUGGGCCCAACUGGAACCAACUGGAAGAACCAACUGGAACCAACUGGAACCAACUGGUUCUUACUGGACCCAAC